rnacentral:rRNA from 1 species
AGAUUAAGUUAUUAAGGGCGCACGGUGGAUGCCUUGGCGCUAGGAGCCGAUGAAGGACGUGGUAAGCUGCGAUAAGCCUUGAUGAGUUGCACGCAAACUUUGAUUCAAGGAUUUCCGAAUGGGAUUACCCAAUAGAGUUAAUACUCUAUUAUCUUAAAGUCAAUUCAUAGCUUUAAGAGGGGAACUGAGUGAACUGAAACAUCUUAGUAACUCAAGGAGAAGAAAGCAAACGCGAUUCCCUAAGUAGCGGCGAGCGAAAGGGGAAUAGCCCAAACUAUAAUAGUGUCAAACUUAUGGGUGUUGCUAUUAUAGGGUUGUAGGACUAUCAGAUGUCGCCAUAACGACAUCAUAGUAUUGCUUUUAUUUAACUGAAGUAGCUGGAAAGUUACACCACAGAAGGUAAAAGUCCUGUAAGUGAAAAGUAAAAGUAAACUAGAUAGUAUCCUGAGUACCAUGAGUCACGUGGAACCUCGUGGGAAGUUAGGAGGACCAUCUCCUAAGGCUAAAUACUCCCUAGCGACCGAUAGUGAACUAGUACCGUGAGGGAAAGGUGAAAAGAACCCCGGAAGGGGAGUGAAAUAGAAUCUGAAACCGUGUGCCUACAAGCAGUCAGAGGACGUAUAUAAUCAGUCUGAUGGCGUGCUUUUUGCAUAACGAGCCUGCGAGUUAUGGUAAGUGGCGUUAGGUUAAGCUUUGAAGGUGUAGCCGUAGCGAAAGCGAGUCUUAACGGGGCGUUAAGUCGCUUGCCAUAGACCCGAAACCGAGUGAUCUAUCCAUGGCCAGGGUGAAGCACGUGUAAGAACGUGUGGAGGCCCGAACCACAUUAGCGUUGAAAAGCUAUGGGAUGAGCUGUGGAUAGGGGUGAAAGGCCAAUCGAACUCGGAGAUAGCUGGUUCUCCUCGAAAUAGCUUUAGGGCUAGCCUCAAGUAAUUGCAACUUGGCGGUAGAGCACUGAUUGGACUAGGGGCCUUCUUAGGUUACCGAAUCCAGUCAAACUCCGAACGCUGAGCUUGUUUAUCUUGGGAGUCAGACUAUGUGGGAUAAGCUUCAUAGUCGAAAGGGAAACAACCCAGAUCGUCAGCUAAGGUCCCUAAGUAUGAACUAAGUGGCAAAGGAUGUGAGAUUGCAUAGACAACCAGGAUGUUGGCUUAGAAGCAGCCAUUCAUUUAAAGAGUGCGUAAUAGCUCACUGGUCGAGUGGUCUUGCGCUGAAAAUGUCCGGGGCUUAAGUUCAUCACCGAAGCUACGGAUCGAAAGAUGGUAGAGGAGCUUUCUAUAUGGAUUGAAGCAGUACCGUAAGGAGCUGUGGACUGUAUAGAAGUGAUAAUGCAGGCAUGAGUAACGAUAAGAUAGGUGAGAAUCCUAUCCGCCGAAAGUCUAAGGUUUCCUGAGGAAGGCUCGUCCGCUCAGGGUAAGCCGGGACCUAAGCCGAGGCUGAAAGGCGUAGGCGAUGGAAAAUCGGUUAAAAUUCCGAUGCCACCUCUUUACCGCUAUGAGCAAUGGGGUGACGCAGGAGGAUAUGCUAGCUUGGCAACGGUUUGCCAAGUCGAAGCACUUAGGAGGAUAAUCCAGGUAAAUCCGGACUAUCAUUAACUCUAAGGUGUGACCGGGAGCUUCUAAGGAAGCGAAGUAGUUGAUUCCACACUGCCAAGAAAAGCCUCUAGCCAGGUAAAUGGUGCCCGUACCGCAAACUGACACAGGUAGACGAGAUGAGAAUUCUAAGGCGCGCGAGAGAACCUUCGUUAAGGAACUCGGCAAAAUUGCCCCGUAACUUCGGGAGAAGGGGCGCCUCAUUAGAGUGCAAGCUCGAAGAGGCCGCAGUGACUGGGCCCAAGCGACUGUUUACCAAAAACACAGGUCUCUGCUAAGACGUAAGUCGAUGUAUAGGGGCUGACGCCUGCCCGGUGCUGGAAGGUCAAGGGGAUGUGUUAGAGUUUAGCUCGAAGCAUUGAACUUAAGCCCCAGUAAACGGCGGCCGUAACUAUAACGGUCCUAAGGUAGCGAAAUUCCUUGUCGGGUAAGUUCCGACCUGCACGAAUGGCGCAACGACUUGGGCACUGUCUCAACGAAGGACUCGGUGAAAUUGUAGUACCUGUGAAGAUGCAGGUUACCCGCGACAGGACGGAAAGACCCCGUGGAGCUUUACUGCAGUCUGAUAUUGAAUUUUGGUACAAUAUGUACAGCAUAAGUGGGAGGCUUUGAAGUCGGCACGCUAGUGUCGGUGGAGCCACAGGUGGGAUACCACUCUUAUUUUGCUGGAAUUCUAACCAUGCACUGUUAUCCAGUGCUGGGACAUUGUCAGAUGGGCAGUUUGACUGGGGCGGUCGACUCCUAAAGAGUAACGGAGUCGCCCAAAGGUUCCCUCAGUGCGGUCGGAAAUCGCACGAAGAGUGUAAAGGCAGAAGGGAGCUUGACUGCGAGACAUACAGGUCGAGCAGGGACGAAAGUCGGGCUUAGUGAUCCGACGGUAGAGUAUGGAAUUGCCGUCGCUCAACGGAUAAAAGUUACCCCGGGGAUAACAGGCUUAUCUCCCCCAAGAGUUCACAUCGACGGGGAGGUUUGGCACCUCGAUGUCGGCUCGUCGCAUCCUGGAGCUGAAGCAGGUUCCAAGGGUUGGGCUGUUCGCCCAUUAAAGCGGUACGCGAGCUGGGUUCAGAACGUCGUGAGACAGUUCGGUCCCUAUCCGUCGUGGGCGUAGGAUAUUUGAAGGGAUCUGUCCCUAGUACGAGAGGACCGGGAUGGACGUACCUCUGGUGUACCAGUUGUCAUCCAAUGGCAUUGCUGGGUAGCUAUGUACGGACCAGAUAAACGCUGAAAGCAUCUAAGCGUGAAACUGACCUUAAGAUGAGAUAUCCCAUAGAGUUAAUCUAGUAAGACCCCUGAUAGACUAUCAGGUCGAUAGGUCGGAGGUGUAAGAGUGGUAACAUUCUCAGCUGACCGAUACUAAUAGGUCGAGGACUUAAUCUA